rnacentral:tRNA from 1 species
ACUCAAUUAGUUUAUUUAAAACAAAGAUUUGUGGAAUCUUAAAAACUUAGGUAUUGAGUC